ACGAGAUCUGUCACUCACAGAGGUAACCAUGACAACAUUAACACUCUAGUCUAGUGAGAAGCGCAGUGAUGCAGCGUGCAGUAAGAUACAAUCAUACCUUCAAUCACAUUUACAUAUAUGCAUACGCGCAGUUGAUGGCUGGCUUGCAGAGAUCUUCCUGAGAAAAUCAAUUUGGUUUGUGCAUGUGUCAGUGCUGCACCAUGGUCCAGCGGGGAUUGACUGCAAUGCAUCAUGGGAGAGUAGCCCAUCACAGGCAAAGUAUGUGGCAGGAGAUGUCAACACACAGUGGGGAACAAAACCAAACUCAGAGGAAGAAAAGAAUAUGGUAAUGAGCCUCUCUUCCUGAACAUAUGUAUGGAAAAUGAUGACGGUGUCUUUAAAAUGAUGUAGGAUGAAAAGGUAAGAUGAAAAGGAAAAAGAAAAGGCGGAUAAUAUUCUUUAUUCAUGCUAAGAAAAACCUGUAUUCUAUUAGAAAG